rnacentral:rRNA from 1 species
UACGAAGGGGCUAGCGUUGCUCGGAAUUACUGGGACGGUAAAGCGCACGUAGGCGGUCUUUUAAGUCGGGGGUGAAAAUCCUGGAGCUCAACUCCAGAACUGCCUUCGAUACUGGAAGACUCGAGUCGGGAGAGGUGAGUGGAACUGCGAGUGUAGAGGUGAAAUUCGUAGAUAUUCGCAAGAACACCAGUGGCGAAGGCGGCUCACUGGCCCGGUACUGACGCUGAGGUGCGAAA